rnacentral:rRNA from 1 species
UACGUAGGGUCCGAGCGUUGUUCGGAAUUACUGGGCGUAAAGGGUUCGUAGGUGGCCAACUAAGUCAGACGUGAAAUCCCUCAGCUUAACUGGGGAACUGCGUCUGAGACUGGAUGGCUUGAGUGCAGGAGAGGAACGCGGAAUUCCAGGUGUAGCGGUGAAAUGCGUAGAUAUCUGGAGGAACACCGGUGGCGAAGGCGGCGUUCUGGACUGCUACUGACACUGAGGAACGAAAGCCAGGGGAGCAAACGGG